AAGUUCUAAAAAGCAAAAAUUAAGAUAAAUUUCAGUUGCUUGAAGAAUAGUUUGAACAGUUCAAACUAGCAUGUUAGGCAAAAAACACUAUCCAUAUUUCUCACAUUCCCUUUUUCCUCCAGUUACAAUGUGCAGCUUGAACUGAAAGUUUCUGCUUUUCUUUUUGUCAGCUGGUUGACAUCUGGGCACAUUAACUACUAACUCUACAAAGGUGAUGCCUUAUUUGCAUGGGCUUGUCUAUUAAUAGGGAAAGAUGCUAGGAAAGAAAAAUACAAAGUAGCUCUCAUACCAUGAAAAAAUAAAAUAAAAACACCCCUUUCCACACUAAUGUUUCUACUCCCAGCUGAAUUAAUCCAGACUUCUCAAAUGUAGCACCCAUUUCCUAUAGUAGCUGAAUAGCAAAUUGUUAAAUAGGCUUCAGUCAGAAUGAAUACAACACCGAAGGAUUCAGAAUAUCCUUCUCACAUUUCUUCCAAUCCAACACUCUAUUUAUUUUAAGCUUAUAUGAUAUUCUAGGUGAUGUGUUAUCCCUUUAAACAGGAAUGACAACACAAGUGCCGCAUUUAUGCAAAAUUAAAGUUGCAUAAAUUCAUAGAUGAAGACACAGUAAUUAAGAGUCAGUGGUGACAAAGAAGACUGAUCUCCAUUCCUAAUCAUUAGCAAAUGUUAGGCUUAAGACAAGUUUUAGAUUUUGAGGCUGGGGAACAGUUCCAUAGAUUAAGAAUAUUCUAUAAAUUUCUAAUAAGGCAGAAUGAUAGCUGACGUGAUCUGAAAGACUUUAUGUUUUCAGUUGUUAGUUUAUUUGUAUGAGAACAGAUUAAUUACUGCUAAAAUAACAUUUUCAGAUAAGCAAUGUAGAACUAAAUACUGUGAAGUAAGUAUUUAGCUUCUGUGUUUUAAAUAGUUAUUUAAUGCUUCAUCUUCGCAUGACUGUAUCGGUAAACAAGCAACACGAAAGUAUGGAUUAAGGUAUACAGUUGCUCCCUCACAACAACAGCACUGUGUUUAGGAGACUGAGUCAAGUAACACUCACUACAGACCUUGAACUGUGGGAUCGUCAUCUCAAAAGACUUGUCCGUUAUUUGUCCCGAAGGGUCUGCCACCGUCAGCGUCACUGUGACGUACGGGUACUUCAGAGACCGGCAGGUGUCAGAGCUCAUGGCGACUCCCAGCUUCCAUUUCAUAUCUACAAACUGCAAAGAUGAAAACCAUUGGAAACAGUGUCAAAGAAGGACAUCUACCCUACCAUUGCUAUUCAGUUGGAGGGAUGUUUCACAGACAAUACAGGAUGUCUAGAGCUCUUAUCCAAAUGGAAAGCAAACAUACACAUAUGGAUAUUACUGUGAAUAAAAAAUCAUCUGCCCAUCCUUUUAUUGGUGAAAAAAUAAGCAAUUUAAUAAGUUAUUUCCCUUAAUCUGUUUUCCUUAUCCAAGUACAGGCAAUAGUCAAGUACACUGUAUUUAAAAUUCUACUAAGAGGAGUUUCAGACACACAAGUUCACAUGGCUUAUAUAUCAUGAAUGUGUUUGUCAUGUUUUCUUUUUUUUAAUAAGUUUCUAAAUCAAAAACAAAGUUUCUAAGUCUAAACCAAAUAAUUUGUAACGGCAACAAUAGAGAAAAAUUAUUAUUUUAUAACUGUAUUUUAGAUAAAUCACAAGUACAUUUUUUGCCUUUUGUGAAGAGCCAUUAUAAGCUUACUAGCAAGCCUCAGAAAAAGAUUUUCUUUUUUUUCCUAAUUCUGUAGUCUUUUAAGCUGUUGUUAUAAAAAAAAAAGAUCAUAAAAUGCAAAUACACUGCUAUUUUUUCAAGCAAAGAAAGUAUGCUGGAAAUUGACAGAAAGUAUCUUUAAAAAUAAUGUUUGAACUUAAGGGAGACAAAGAACAAUCAAGUGCUGGGGUUAUCAAUUUUAAAGAAUUUAAAUUACAUUUAAAACAGAUUUACGUAAACAGCCAAUACAAUCGUCUGCCAAACUGACUACCACCUUUGCUAAUAGUACUACAAAGCAUUAAUCUUUAAAAAGGUAUGAAACUGUUCAGCAGGUAGACAACCUUUACUGCACAUGCUGCUUUAUCUGGAUAGAUAUUUGGCAACAUGUACAUACACAUACAGGUAGGAAAGCUUUUUGCAGUCAAGAUACCACUGUGUGCCAACAACACAACGCACUGAUGCUUCUGAAAUGUUCACAGUUGGCUCAACUGCACUUGGUCACACUUAGUUACCUGCCCCACGGUGGCCACAUUUCUUGCAUCUUCUGCCACAGUAAUGGAUUUGCCCUGCUCAUUCCAUACAUGACGGAUAACUUGAAGUGCAUGUUUUGGCAGUGUGCUGACUGCACUGCCCAAGGUGGUGACGAGUUCUU